rnacentral:rRNA from 1 species
CGCGAUGUCAUUAAUUUGGUGUCGCGGGGAAUCAGGACUGUUACUUUGAAAAAAUUAGAGUGUUUAAAGCAGGCUCGCGCUUGAAUACAUUAGCAUGGAAUAGUGAAAUAGGACGUUUGACUCUAUUUUGUUGGUUUCUAGGAUCGACGUAAUGAUUAAUAGGGAUAGUUGGGGGCAUUAGUAUUCAAUUGUCAGAGGUGAAAUUCUUGGAUUUAUUGAAGACUAACUACUGCGAAAGCAUUUGCCAAGGAUGUUUUCAUUAAUCAAGAACGAAAGUUAGGGGCUCGAAGACGAUCAGAUACCGUCGUAGUCUCAACCAUAAACGAUGCCGACCAGGGAUCAGCGGGUGUUACUAAUAGGACCCCGCUGGCACCUUAUGAGAAAUCAAAGUCUUUGGGUUCCGGGGGGAGUAUGGUCGCAAGGCUGAAACUUAAAGGAAUUGACGGAAGGGCACCACCAGACGUGGAGCCUGCG